AGAGGGGGCCAGCGUUAUUCGGAAUUAUUGGGCGUAAAGGGCGCGUAGGCGGCCAUGCGUGUCUUCCGUGAAAUCCCUCGGCUUAACUGAGGACGUGCGGAAGAAACUGCAAGGCUCGAGUCCGGGAGAGGAGGGUGGAAUUCCCAGUGUAGCGGUGAAAUGCGUAGAUAUUGGGAGGAACACCGGUGGCGAAGGCGGCCCUCUGGACCGGUACUGACGCUGAUGCGCGAAAGCGUGGGUAGCAAACGGGAUUAGAUACCCCGGUAGUCCACGCCGUAAACGAUGGGCACUUGGUGUCGCGGGUAUCGACCCCUGCGGUGCCGAAGCUAACGCAUUAAGUGCCCCGCCUGGGGAGUACGGUCGCAAGGCUG
rnacentral:rRNA from 1 species